rnacentral:rRNA from 1 species
UACGAACGCUGGCGGCGCGCCUAACACAUGCAAGUCGAACGAGCGAGAGAGAGCUUGCUUUCUCGAGCGAGUGGCGAACGGGUGAGUAACGCGUGAGUAACCUGCCCUGGAGUGGGGGACAACAGUUGGAAACGACUGCUAAUACCGCAUAAGCCCACGGCCCGGCAUCGGGCUGAGGGAAAAGGAUUUAUUCGCUUCAGGAUGGACUCGCGUCCAAUUAGCUAGUUGGUGAGGUAACGGCCCACCAAGGCAAUGAUGGGUAGCCGGCCUGAGAGGGUGAACGGCCACAAGGGGACUGAGACACGGCCCUU